rnacentral:lncRNA from 1 species
AUUUGGAGACGUAAGCUGACGUGGAAAUCUAUCCCCAUCCUUAGCAGGGAGGUGCUGGUCAUGUGACCCGAUGUUGAAAUUGACAAGCUGCUAGCUAGUCCGGGCCUUUUCCCCCCCCCUUUCCUUUUUUUUUUUUCCUCCUCUCCCCUCCCUCCCGGCUUCCUUUCUUUGUAGCCACCUCAGGGGAAGCAACAGAUCGUCACUCGGUGUUCUCACCGAAAGCACGUAAUCGCCGGUGUAACUCAUGUUGGCUGGGGGGCCUCCCGGCGCGCGCGGAGAGGCUGGGGUGCGCCCCCAUGCAGCAUGCUUGUGCUCAAUUGCAGGGUCCUCGUUCUCGAGUGUGCAGAGGGCGGUGAGAGCUCAACUCUCUCCCCCUCCCAUAGACUUGCUCUGGGAAGCGCCUCUGCCUCCGACCCUAGCCGGAACCCCUUCGGGGCCAGAGUUUGAAGCCGUGGAUGUGCCUGCCUGGUGGCUUGUCCGAUUUGCACGGUGACUUGAUUACACUCUCUCAUUCAUGGUCACUUCCGAAGCGCUUUAGUGCCUUCCGUCCCUAAACCGCCAACAGCCAGAACGGCUUCUCCCCGCGGUUUGUCACUGAUCCGCAGGGCCCGGAAGGGCCUUCGUCUUACCCGGGAUCCACCUCUCCCCUCAUCUUCCCUGCCUACCUCUUCAUCCCACCUUCUGUCCUUGGAGAAACUCCCUCCUCCUCGCUGCCUGCCGGGCUUCGGAGUGACUCGGCAGAGACAGAGGCACAGGGGCUGCCCUGCUGCUCACCGGUCCACCCAUCUGCCUGGUCUUCUGGAGCUGAGGACUCGGGAAACCAUGCAAUUGAGGCAAGCCUUGGGCUGCUU